rnacentral:piRNA from 1 species
CCAAAGGGUCUAGGAAGAUUAACUGUGGC